CAAAACAUGGCUUCUUGUAAUAAUUUAAAUAAGGAGUCGGACCUGCCCAGUGAAUUUUUUUAACGGCCGCGGUACUCUGACCGUGCAAAGGUAGCAUAAUCAUUUGCCUUAUAAUUGAAGGCUAGUAUGAAUGGUUUGAUAAGAAUAUAGCUGUCUCUUUACAGCUUACUAGAAUUUUAUCUUUAGGUGAAGAAGCCUAAAUAAAAUUAAAAGACAAGAAGACCCUAUCGAGCUUUAAAGAAAUUAAGGGAGGCAAUAAAUUAAUAGUAAAAUAAAAAAUUAACUCUUAAAUAUUUUGGUUGGGGCGACUGUGGAACAAGAAAAGCUUCCUUUAAAAAUAAAAACAGACAUGUUUUGAUCCAGAUUUUCUGAUUAAAGGAAUUAGUUACCGUAGGGAUAACAGCAUUAUCUUUUUCAAGAGUUCUUAUCGAAAAAAAGGUUUGUGACCUCGAUGUUGGACCAGAAUAUCCUAAAGGUGCAGAAGCCUUUAAGGGUUGGUCUGUUCGACCAUUAAAAUUCUACGUGA
rnacentral:rRNA from 1 species